GGGCCCGUAGCUCAAUUGGAUAGAGCACUAGCCUUCUAAGCUAGGGGUUGCAGGUUCGAGACCUGCCGGGCCCA
rnacentral:tRNA from 1 species